rnacentral:rRNA from 1 species
GACGAACGCUGGCGGCGUGCCUAACACAUGCAAGUCGAGCGAGCGGCGGACGGGUGAGUAAUGUAUGGGGAUCUGCCUGAUAGAGGGGGAUAACUACUGGAAACGGUGGCUAAUACCGCAUACUAUCGGAUGUACCCAUAUGGGAUUAGCUAGUAGGUGGGGUAAAGGCUCACCUAGGCGACGAUCCCUAGCUGGUCUGAGAGGAUGAAAAGCCAAACUGGAACUGAGACACGGUCCAGACUCCUACGGGAGGCAGCAGUGGGGAAUAUUGCACAAUGGGCGCAAGCCUGAUGCAGCCAUGCCGCGUGUAUGAAGAAGGCCUUCGGGUUGUAAAGUACUUUCAGCGGGGAGGCGUUACCCGCAGAAGAAGCACCGGCUAACUCCGUGCCAGCAGCCGCGGUAAUUC